CUGCUCACUCUGGCAGCACAUAUACUAAAAUUGGAACGAUACAGAGAUAAGCAUGGCCUCUGUACAAGGAUGACAGGCAAAAUCAGGAAGCAUUCCAUAUUUCU
ensembl:snRNA U6 U6 spliceosomal RNA